rnacentral:misc_RNA from 1 species
GAUGAAGAACGUAGCGAAAUGCGAUAAGUAAUGUGAAUUGCAGAAUUCAGUGAAUCAUCGAAUCUUUGAACGCACCUUGCACCCUUUGGCAUUCCGAAGGGUAUGCUCGUUUGAGUGUCAUUGUACUCUCACACUCUCCGAUCCUAUGGAUUCGGGGAGCGGUGGACUUGGGUGUUGCUGCCUUUCCUUGUGGCUCACCUCAAAUGUGUCAGUGCACCUCUUGGUCGGACAUAGUACGGCGUGAUAAGUGUCUUCGCCGGCACCUCGCAAGAGGGUGGCCGAUCGGGAGCUCUGUGCUUUCAAACCGUCUUCGGACAAUUUCUGACAACUUGACCUCAAAUCGAGUAGGACUACCCGCUGAACUUAAGCAUAUCAAUAAGCGGGAGGA